AAGUUUAGGAUAAUUUAAACCAAGGACCUUCAAAGCCCUAAACAGAAGAUCGCCCUUCUAACUUCUG
rnacentral:tRNA from 1 species